rnacentral:sRNA from 1 species
UUUUCGUCUGUAGAAAAGAGGAUGAGAACCUCCGAAGGAGGUUUGCGCCGAGCGUAGCGAGACAACGUUGCGCAGCAACGGCC